AACGAACGCUGGCGGCAGGCUUAACACAUGCAAGUCGAGCGAGACCUUCGGGUCUAGCGGCGGACGGGUGAGUAACGCGUGGGAACGUGCCCUUCUCUACGGAAUAGCCCCGGGAAACUGGGAGUAAUACCGUAUACGCCCUUUGGGGGAAAGAUUUAUCGGAGAAGGAUCGGCCCGCGUUGGAUUAGGUAGUUGGUGGGGUAAUGGCCCACAAAGCCGACGAUCCAACGCUGGUUUGGGGGCAUGAUCAGCAACCCUGGGACUGGGACCCGGCCCAAAUCCUACGGGAUGGACGAAGGGGGAAUCUUAGACAAUGGGGGCAACCCUGAUCUAGCCAUGCCGCGUGAGUGAUGAAGGCCUUAGGGUUGUAAAGCUCUUUCAGCUGGGAAGAUAAUGACGGUACCAGCAGAAGAAGCCCCGGCUAACUCCGUG
rnacentral:rRNA from 1 species